GAUGAACGCUGGCGGCGUGCUUAACACAUGCAAGUCGAACGGAAAGGCCCUGCUUUUGUGGGGUGCUCGAGUGGCGAACGGGUGAGUAACACGUGAGUAACCUGCCCUUGACUUUGGGAUAACUUCAGGAAACUGGGGCUAAUACCGGAUAGGAGCUCUUGCUGCAUGGUGGGGGUUGGAAAGUUUCGGCGGUUGGGGAUGGACUCGCGGCUUAUCAGCUUGUUGGUGGGGUAGUGGCUUACCAAGGCUUUGACGGGUAGCCGGCCUGAGAGGGUGACCGGCCACAUUGGGACUGAGAUACGGCCCAGACUCCUACGGGAGGCAGCAGUGGGGAAUAUUGCACAAUGGGCGGAAGCCUGAUGCAGCAACGCCGCGUGCGGGAUGACGGCCUUCGGGUUGUAAACCGCUUUCGCCUGUGACGAAGCGUGAGUGACGGUAAUGGGUAAAGAAGCACCGGCUAACUACGUG
rnacentral:rRNA from 1 species